AUUGGCUAGUUGUGUUAAAAGCUUAAGUACCAAGCGUCCUCAUUGGCUCAUUUUUGGCAACACGCGAGAUAUGUAGAUCAUCACUGACUGCGCACCAGGUAUUUCUUGGUUAAAAUGUGUUAUUUGUACACGGAUAAAAUUCACUAUUACUGCAUUGCCACGUUAAUAGGUUGUUAUAUUAAAUAGGCUACUUAUCAAAGCUAAUUGUCCCGUCUUGACACUUCGAUAGGCUCAACAUGCCCCUCUAGUGUUCAAGCACACGUUUAAAGGUAAAAAUAGCGUCAUCCAAUGUGAUUCACAAAUCUUUUACAAAUUAUAUGCAUAUAGAAUGUUAAAUUUUUACUUUUCAGGACUACAAAGAGACUAUUUAAAGUGAAUGCAAACCAUGUAAGGACAAGCCUCAAAUUUAAUACAAGACUAGGUCUUAUUUAAUUUUAUUUAUUUAAAUCAAUUAAAAUGUCAUCAAAGUAAGCAAAAUAGACCUUCAGGUAAACCUGUAUGAUAGAAGAAUAAUUAGAUAACUGCAACAGAUUUGCAUGUGCCACAGAUAAGCAUUGAUUUCUUAAAAUCUCAUAGUAACAGUUAUUAUAAUGAUGUUAGUAUAUUGGUUAGUUUUAUAAAUAACAUCUUCUCUCUUGAUACAGUUGUACACUUUACAAUUGCCUUGUUUUCUGUAGCUUCACUUUCAGCUGUUGUCUUUUCCAAGUCUCUCUCUUGAGCCAGGUGAUGGGUUAUGAACAUUAUGAAGUAGGGCCUAAAGACCCCAUAAGGAUUUGGUGCCCAGAUAAAAAGUAGAUGAUGCCACUAAGAUCGACAAUAGCAAAGAAUUCCAAGUGUGUCUUGAAGGGCAGAGCGAGUGGCCGAGGCUGCCCCCGUCUGUCUCAUCAUGGAGCUCACGCUGAAGUGACACAAGGCCUGAGUGCAUCUACCUUGGCUGCUUGAUCCCCGUGCCCUCCCCCCUUUGACCAAACAUCUCUAUUUAUAGCGUUAUCGUCACAUCACCACUGUCGCAUCUCCUGUGGCCUCCUCUCUUCAUAGUCUGUCUAUAAGGCAGAUUGUCACCUUGCUUUCCUGGGGCACUGCAGUUGCUGAUUACAGAAAGAGAGAAAUGCCAAACUUCAGAGCGCUAUUCUGGCCUAUUUCUUCUGAGGGGGUCUGAACUCCGGGGUCAUGCUAAACAUCUCUUUGUUGUGUCCGUCUCUCACCUCUCCUCUCUCGCCGGUAAGUUUUGCCACGCAUGCACAGCCCUCCCCACUUGGCGUGAAAUGUGCAGAACAAACGCGUCCAGG